rnacentral:lncRNA from 1 species
UGAUUUGAGACACAUAUCGAUGGAGUAUUUCACUUCACACAUAUCGGUAUGAUGAUAUACAUACCUGCAUGCUCGUGAUCCUGCCACCGUUGGAGACGCUGCCGAGGCCAGCGCCGGCAGAGCGGCGGCUGACGGGGAGCCCGGCGGUGGACUUGAGGCCCCGGAAAGGAGCAACAGCGGUAGCCGCCGCCGACAUCACUGUCGGACCCAUAGCAUCCACCCUUGUAUCACUAGAGUAUAUCUACUUAGCUAAUAUGCUAAGUUUGGCACGGAGAGAGGAGGUCGAGUGGACUUCAUUCCUGGUCACAAGGGUUUAUAUAUACCAUAUAACAUACGAGCAAUUUGUGAUUAAUUUGUUGUCGUUCUAGGAGAUGUGGAAAGGGUGGAUGCCGUUCGUUGGUUGCCUUAUCCGUUCUAGAGAAGGGAUGGAUGACCGACGCUCGCUCAGCCGUCUCCUUCGUCCAUCGUUGCCAAUCUUUCUAGCUAUAAUUGGAAGUUCCAAAGGAACAUACGGUUUCAUGCCUACUUCCAUCGGCCUAUCAUGUACCAAUCCAAUAAAAGGACAUCGUUCAACCAUCAAUCCAUGUGUGUGUAGUAAGUGAUUGGCUACGAACCUUCAGCUGACUUGCUUUAUUGGAUAUUUCUGUAAAGCGAGUCCACGGUGUGUGGGUUUAAAAUCUCGUGGCGGCAACUGUUGACGGGUGCAAAUAUCAGUAGCCUUAAAACAAUAAACUUUACUCCGUCCCUUCCGAAAUGCAAGAAUGUCCUAAGUCAAACUUCUUAUGCUGCAGGACCAUAGUUUUUGAGGUGUUCUUCUCACGAGUCCACGAAGAACGGGAAUUUUUUGGUGUCGGGUAAGGGCGGGGGAAUAUAUAGAUGCUAGCAUCAGCAUGACGGGCUAACGGGUCAGGUAGGAUUUUGGACGACGUAGCACCUGACAUGUGGGGGCCACAUGUAAGAAAACCUGUCAAAAUGUCAUAACCCUCUGUUUUGGUCAACUUGAUACAAUCUGAUACAAAACGUGUGGUUUUCCUGACAAAUUAGCAAAUUUUGUGUCUCUGUGAGAAGCACGCCCCAAAAACUGUGGUUCCGUGAAAUUUAUUCACUAGUUACACUUUAUCUACAAACAUCUACGAUUCUAAAAUAGUUUGGUAUAUAUUUUCCGUAAUAUAAUUAUUUGAUAUUCUAAAUUCGGGGAUUUGUUCUUAUAAACUUGGUCGAAGUUUAAAAAGUUUGACUUCGGACAAAGUUACGACUUUUUACAUUUAGGAAUGAAGGGAAUACAUUUUAGUAAAGCAAUUGAGGAAUUGACAGAAUUAAAUAUCUUAAAUUAUACUGGUCCAUCGUGUACUCAUGGCAACAAAAUAAAUUUAUAGUCGAAAAGUUGGACCAUGAAAACUUAAAACGUGAUACAUUAAAAUUGUUGAAUCACUCUACAUCUUGUAAUUUUCUCUUGCAACCUUCUGGCGCGCUACUCAUUCCACAUUUGGUACUAUAUGUAUAAAUGUAUAUAUAUACCGCAUUAGGAGCCUCUAUUACUGUUUUAGUAUAAAUAGCAGUUUCCAUCGACUAUGCACUUCAUUAACUUUUUCUUCACGAGAUAACUUGCUUAUCGAUUUUCUUUAAUUAUCCAGAUGGCUUCUACUAGUUUGUUUCCUUGCUUACUGGGAUUUCCGCAGACUUUACGGUUAGGUAUUAUUGUCGUGUGGACAACACGGUGGCCGGAUGUUGAGAUGAUGAUGUCCUUUAUCUCCGUGUUGCUUCUGAGGACUGCGGAUCCGAGGCUAGUGGCGGUAUGGGAUGCCUCUCUACCUCUUGAUCAGGUCAAUCCGGCUCAGCAAGAGGCGGAUCGAUGGUGGCCGGUGUGACUAGAAGCGGGGAGGUAUAUAUGAAACGUUUCUUGCUUCCAGCAUCUCUUCUAGCGGUAUAUAUGUCGUCAGCUGGUUGAGGGAUUGAUGGCAAUCGAUCAUGGCUACGAUGACAUGUAUACGCGCCGGUAGGAACACAUAUCAGGCAAUGUCGAUGCACCUGCAUUGGGCCCUUGCUGAAGGUGGUGGUGCGUAUGGCAGUCUAAAGAUUUAAGACACAAAUUUAGACUUAAAACUUAAAUAAUCAAUUUGUGCCAGCGGGAAACACACAAACACGUACCGGUAAAUUAUCAUAAUCAGAAUUUGUCGACGAAUUUGAUAUUCUUUUACAAAAUAUACUUAUCUUAAUAUGUAUAACCGGAGUUUAUAUUACAUGCCCCUCUCCCAACGAUAGUUGUAGUACUCUUAUAAUAGUAGUACUCAUGAAUACAGUUAAUCCGGGUUGUUGGGAGAGAUCACAUGCAUAAAUACAACAUGAAACAAACGUGUGAAAAAGGUACAUAAAAUCGGUGUGACCCGUUCUUGUAUUAUAAGAAAUCAACUUGCUUAGGCCUUGCCGGACUCCUCACAACCCGGUGGCUUGAAGGCGAUGAAGCUGAUGCACUGCACUUGCCUGGUGUUGUCGAAGCCGAUGAUGCGGACAUAGGCGUCAGGGUACUCCUUCUUCACCUCCUCCAGCUCCUUUAGCACCUGCGUGGCGUCGGUGCACCCGAACAUGGGAAGCUUCCACAUUGUCCAGUACCUGCCGUCGUAGUACCCGGGAGAGUUGCCGUGCUCACGGAAGACGAAACCGACCUUGCUGAACUCGAGGCAAGGAACCCACUUGGAGCGGAUGAGAUACUCGAUCUGCUUCAAGAGGGACUCCACGGUGAGAGGCGGCAGGUAGGAAAGGGUUUCGAACUUCUUGAUGCCCUCAAUUGGCCACACCUACAAUUAGAUUAAUAAUUAGCACCGAAAGUAUAAUUUGAGACACAUAUCAGUAUUUCACUUCAACAUAUGUACAUGAUGACAUACAUACCUGCAUGCACCUGAUCCUUCCACCGUUGGAGACGCUGCCGAGACCAGCGCUGGCUGAGCGGCGGCCGAUGGGGAGCCCGGCGGUGGACUUGAGGCCCUGGAAAGGAGCAACGGCAGUAGCCGCUGACGACAUCACUGUGGGAGCCAUCGUACACGUACGUAGAUAGCUAACAAGAGGAG